CUCUUUGGUCGCCACCAUCCUUUUGGAUCCAGCCGGAGCAGGAGCCUCGUUCCUAUGACAACCGCGCCAGGUCCACGCGCAGACGGCGGGUAGCAAGGGUCAAAACAGAUUUUCAAAGUUGAAGCCCUAGAACUGUUCAGUCCGCGCCUUUGGUGCGCCGGGCCUUUAAGUGUCACGUGACUGCCCUCCGGCUCGUCCCUCCUCUUUCCCCUCCCCAGGCCCCGGCGAGCGCUGGUGUGGACCGGAGGCUCUCGGCCCCGCGGAGUAACUGGAGCACGGACGUUGCAGCCGGUUAGGACGGUGCCCUUUCCAGCUCUGGAAAGGAAGAGAAAUGGAAGUGAAAAAGUUGAGCAUUUCCUGGCAGUUCUUGAUAGUUCUGGUUCUGAUCCUGCAAAUUCUGUCUGCGUUGGAUUUUGACCCAUACAGAGUCCUAGGGGUCAGCCGAACAGCCAGUCAGGCUGAUAUUAAAAAGGCUUAUAAGAAGCUCGCCCGGGAAUGGCAUCCUGACAAAAACAAAGAUCCUGGAGCAGAAGACAAGUUCAUUCAGAUUAGCAAAGCUUACGAGAUUCUUUCCAAUGAAGAAAAGAGAUCACAUUAUGACCACUAUGGAGAUGCCGGGGAGAACCAGGGCCACCAGAAGCAGCAGCGAGAGUAUCGCUUCCGCCAUUUCCAUGAGAAUUUUUAUUUUGAUGAACCAUUUUUUCACUUCCCUUUUAAUUCUGAACGGCGAGACUCAAUUGAUGAAAAGUAUUUAUUGCACUUUUCACAUUAUGUGAACGAAGUGGUUCCAGAUAGCUUCAAGAAACCCUACCUCAUUAAGAUCACCUCAGAUUGGUGCUUUAGCUGUAUCCAUAUUGAGCCUGUUUGGAAGGAAGUAGUGCAAGAACUGGAAGGGUUGGGCGUAGGAAUCGGCGUGGUCCACGCUGGCUACGAGAGACGCCUGGCCCAUCACCUGGGAGCACACAGCACACCAGCUAUCCUAGGAAUCAUAAAUGGGAAAAUCUCCUUCUUCCAUAAUGCAGUUGUCCGUGAGAACCUGCGACAGUUUGUAGAGAGCCUUCUUCCAGGGAACUUGGUGGAGAAAGUUACAAGUAAAAAUUAUGUCAGAUUCCUCUCUGGCUGGCAGCAAGAGAAUAAACCGCAUGUCCUUCUGUUUGACCAAAUGCCCGUUGUACCACUGCUCUACAAGUUGACUGCUUUCGCGUAUAAAGAUUAUUUGUCAUUUGGAUACGUGUACGUCGGUUUGAGAGGGGCGGAAGAGAUGACGAGGCAAUACAACGUCAACGUCUAUACCCCCACCAUCCUGAUCUUUAAAGAACACAUACACAAGCCUGCAGAUGUUAUCCAGGCCCGAGGUAUGAAGAAACAGGUCAUUGAUGACUUUAUCACCCAAAACAAGUAUCUGUUGGCAGCCAGGCUCACCAGCCAGAAGUUGUUCCAUGAACUCUGCCCCGUGAAACGGUCUCACCGACAGAGGAAGUACUGUGUGGUUCUACUGACCGCGGAGGCUACCAAGCUGAGUAAACCCUUCGAGGCUUUCCUGUCCUUUGCUCUGGCAAACACGCAGGACACAGUGAGGUUCGUGCACGUCUACAGCAAUCGGCAGCAGGAGUUUGCCAACACCUUACUGCCAGACAGCGACGCCUUUCAAGGAAAAUCAGCGGUGUCUAUCUUAGAAAGGCGCAACACAGCAGGGAGGGUGGUGUAUAAAACCCUGGAGCAUCCCUGGACCGGGAGUGAGAGCGAUAAAUUCAUCCUUUUGGGUUAUCUUGACCAACUGCGGAAAGACCCAGCUCUUCUGUCCUCGGAAGCUGUGCUCCCCGACUUGACUGAUGAACUUGCCCCUAUUUUUCUCCUUCGGUGGCUCUAUUCUGCUUCUGACUACAUCUCAGACUCUUGGGACGGCAUAUUUCACAGCAACUGGCGGGAAAUGAUGCCCCUUCUGUCCCUGGUCUUCUCUGCUCUCUUCAUCCUCUUCGGCACCGUCAUCAUCCAGGCUUUCAGUGACUCAAAUGAGGAGCGCGAGUCAAGCCCUCCAGACAAAGAGGAAGCCCACGAGAAGACCGGGAGGACAGAGCCAAGCUUCACCAAGGAGCCCAGCAGCAAGAUUCCUAAAAAAGGCUUUGUGGAGGUGACCGAGCUCACAGAUGUAACGUACACCAGUAACUUGGUACGCCUGAGGCCAGGCCACAUGAACGUGGUCCUCAUCCUGUCAAAUUCCACCAAGACCAGCCUGCUGCAGAAGUUCGCUUUGGAGGUCUACACGUUCACUGGGAGCAGCUGCCUGCACUUUUCCUUCCUGAGUCUAGAUAAACACAGAGAAUGGCUGGAAUACUUACUAGAAUUUGCUCAAGAUGUGGCCCCGAUCCCAAACCAAUACGACAAGCAUUUCAUGGAACGCGACUACACGGGCUAUGUACUGGCUCUGAAUGGCCACAAGAAAUACUUCUGCCUCUUCAAGCCCCAAAAAACAGUCGAAGAGGAGGAAGCCAUGGGGUCGUGCAGUGACCUUGACUCUUCCCUCCAUCUGGGUGAAUCUCGAGGGAAAUCUUCUGGCCUUGGAUCCAGGCCCAUCAAAGGAAAAUUGAGCAAGUUGUCCUUAUGGAUGGAACGGCUGCUGGAAGGCUCCUUACAGAGGUUUUAUAUCCCGUCAUGGCCUGAACUAGACUGAGAAUUUCUAAAAGAGGCUCGAACUCUUCAGACUUUUUAACAGGCCCCUGUGAACAGCUGAAACGCUGGUCAUGUCCAAAUACCUGACAUUGUCCCUUGAAACAAACGCAGCGUGUCUGCUGCCGAAUCUGUUCAGUUUGUCAAGGAGGAUGAUGAUGCUUUCGAGACAGACCUGAAAAGAAGGUGAAUAUUUUGCACUUUUGAUACUCUUAGGAACAAAUAACUUAUUUGGCAAAUGGUGUCUUUUUUAUGUUGUUUUUGUUUUGUAUUGUGAACAGGCACUGAAGCUGAUGUUAUUUUGUUUUAAGAAUAUUACAGACUGGAAACAGAAAUAAACUAUUUUAAUGUGUGAUGAUUAUGGGUAGCUCUUAUGUCACGAGAUGAUCAUUUGACCAUGGACACAUUAUCAACAAAACUGAAUUCGCAUGUAACUCAACACAUGCUUAAGGUCAUCACGCCUCCACUGCAGAUUUGGGGAAUUGCUGUCAUAGAGGGUGGGUCAGCUUGAAGAGAAGAUAAUGCAAAACAGGCUCAGAGGGAGCGGGUUAAGGCAAGGCCACUAAGAGCCAGCUGAUGUCACCUGGUUUUGAAGACAUUCCUGCAUCUUCCUGGGCUUUUGAGUGGGAAGUUUCUUUAUUAGGAUCUGCCUGUUAUUUUUUCUUUCAAACUUUUUCUGUGUUCACGAUGGUCCUAAAACCAAGAUGCUCCUCAGCGUAGGGGCUGUAUUUUAAAGGAAGAUACUAUAGAAAUAUGGAAUGUUUUUCUACAGUACUAUUUCAUAGGGUUUUUUCAUUUCAUUCCUCCAGAUUAUAGAUAAACUAAAUUCUCCAUCCCUUUCCCCUUUAUCCGCCAUCACCGUUCAUCA